GACAGCAGCCGCCGCGGUAAUACGUAUGUCGCAAGCGUUAUCCGGAAUUAUUGGGCAUAAGGGCAUCUAGGCGGCCCUGUAAGUCUAGGGUGAAAACCAGCGGCUCAACCGCAGGCCUGCCCCGGAAACUACAGGGCUAGAGUAUCGGAGAGGUGGACGGAACUGCACGAGUAGAGGUGAAAUUCGUAGAUAUGUGCAGGAAUGCCGAUGAUGAAGAUAGUUCACUGGACGGUAACUGACGCUGAAGUGCGAAAGCUAGGGGAGCGAACAGGAUUAGAUACCCCCGUAGUCCCUGUCUCUUAUACA
rnacentral:rRNA from 1 species